UGAAUGAACGUGGAACUUCGCAAUCAAAACAACUUCAUUCACUUCGUUUUCCGAGUUGGGGAGUGUAUUGUGAUAGCCAGAAACCAUUCGUUGUCCGACCGCUUUUGAGAGCGCACGUGUACGCGAGUGAUACAAUGUUUAACUAUCCGAAGAAUUUUAAAGCCAAUGGCUGGGGUUGGCAUCGUUCAGCCAACGCUGCCGCGGCUGUCAAUGGAUUUUGAAUAAAGAACGUGGUGGUGAAGGGAGCUCUGAGCCCCUGCUUGGAAACGGAAGUCUCUACCCGUCGUUACCAACUGAAGA